AUUGAACGCUGGCGGCAGGCCUAACACAAGCAAGUCGAGCGGAUGAAGGGAGCUUGCUCCUGGAUUCAGUGGCGGACGGGUGAGUAAUGCCUAGGAAUCUGCCUGGUAGUGGGGGAUAACGUCCGGAAACGGGCGCUAAUACCGCAUACGUCCUGAGGGAGAAAGUGGGGGAUCUUCGGACCUCACGCUAUCAGAUGAGCCUAGGUCGGAUUAGCUAGUUGGUGGGGUAAAGGCCUACCAAGGCGACGAUCCGUAACUGGUCUGAGAGGAUGAUCAGUCACACUGGAACUGAGACACGGUCCAGACUCCUACGGGAGGCAGCAGUGGGGAAUAUUGGACAAUGGGCGAAAGCCUGAUCCAGCCAUGCCGCGUGUGUGAAGAAGGUCUUCGGAUUGUAAAGCACUUUAAGUUGGGAGGAAGGGCAGUAAGUUAAUACCUUGCUGUUUUGACGUUACCAACAGAAUAAGCACCGGCUAACUUCGUG
rnacentral:rRNA from 1 species